UACUGGUAAUGUAGCGUUAGCUGUAACAAUUAGCAAUUCAUCUAGGUUGACAUUAGCGUGAAAGCAAAGCAAACACACGAUAAAUGACUCGUUCAACCACAGAGUUAUUCAGUCUUCAUACGUGUUGUGCUAGGAAAAAGGACAUGGACUAGAUUAAAUGUCGUUAUCGAGAACUACCUCGACAGCUCGACGUUAGCAGACUAGCAAACUCCUCGGUGUUUUACUGAUACUAUUCUGCGGCGUUAGCAUUAGCUUCGCUAGCUAGAGCUGGCUAACUAUGAGUUUAUCUACUUGCUGAAAACCAGUUUUCAGUAAAUGCUAUAGAGACGAGAUAAAGCUCAAUCGUUUAUGGCCCUUUUAGAAAACCUGUAUUGAGCAUCUAGUAAACUCAAGAAUCUGACCAUAUGAUUUAAAAAACAAACAGGCAAAAAUAGCUCUGUUAUGUAAACAAAAAAAUAUGGGGCACUGAGUUCGCCGCUCUAGGAAAUGCACCGCAUCUCUAAGCUAGGCCGCGGUUUUUAAACGCAACUUAGCUUAGCUUAGCUAGCGUCCCAAUCCACUGAGACUGCGACAUCACAUACCUCUCGCUUUCAGUUUUAUUACUGGACUGCUCGUUGACAGGCAUCUCGGUUAAGUGUCUCUCUUUUUCUCUAACAAAACAAUGGCUAUUCAAAAUCGUCUGAAGGUUAGAUUUAACCAUCCGGCCAGCGUCCGCUCCAGAUACUCGCUCUGCCCUCUCCUCGUCUCCGACUGUGGGCGAGCGGGUCCGCGGGCUGAGGUACUCAUCAUGGGAGGGACGCGUCCGUCCUGACGGGUCCUGACGCGCUGCUGUCACCGGAGCCGCAGCGAGUCAGGAUCCAGCACAGGAGCGGGGAACAUGGUUCAGGGUUUGUAUAAGGCAGAGUCCGGUGCCUGCAGCUCAGAAAUCACCGUCAACACGACCAGGACUUCACUUCAGGAGUGAGACACAACCGAACGGGCCAAUCAGUUUUAUUUUGGAUGCAAUUCCUAAACCUUAACCUAAAGGAGUGAGUUGGAUCAUUUGAAAACAACACAAUGUCUUAUGAGCGGAUUCUGUCCAUCGAAAAUCUGAGUGAUGUUCCAAAUCCAUGGAAAGGACUCACUAUGAACCGCUGCUUAGUGUUGGCCCUGGUCGUACUGCUGGUGACCUCAGGUGUGAGUGAGGUGCACGAUGCUUUGGACUCUUUUGUUGAGGACACAGGAAUUCGGUCUUUCAUUGAAAGUCUGCAGGAUGGUUCAAUACCUCAGAUCAAUCUAUGGGACAGUGUCAUGUGGUGGUGGGGUUCAGAAGAAGUGGGAGCGAUAAGAAGAAGAAAGAAGCCGAUCGGCAACAAAGCCAUCCUGAAACCCAAAACGAAAGAAUAAAGGAUGUCGAGCUGCUGAAAGAAGAGACCACAGUCUUAUACUUUGAAUUUAAUAAUAAAAAACUGUUACAUUUAAAUAUCGUUGUAUGUUAGACAAUAAAAGAUUUUAUUCAGAAAUAUUUAUCAUAUUAAAUCAGUAUUUCUACACCCUUUUUGAAUAAUACUACAUAUUUUCAAAGAUGAUGGCAAUAUUCAUUAAAAGACUCAAUAUCCAUUUUAA